rnacentral:misc_RNA from 1 species
AACAUAUGGAGAGUGCAAAAACAAACUUUAUGAUCCUCAUUAUCAGCAACUGCAGUAAUUAUUAAUUAACUUACCUGAGUGGCCUUCUUCCUCACCUUAGUCGUCGAUCAGUGUUGCAUGGAUUUAUCUUGCUUAAUCCCAGGCACACUUGAAGUAUAUACUGAUGUGAAAUAGACAGUGAUGUGAUAUAUAUUUGCUGAUGCCAAAUUUCAUGUUCAUGCUAGCAGUGUAUCAACACUCCCAUCUUCAAAUGAUCCUUUCUCCCCGUCAAUCCCCUAGAUUUCAUGUCACAUAUAUCACACAGUGUUUUUUUUUUUUUUUUUUUUUUUUUCUUUUUAUAGAGGUGUGAACUAAAGCAAAUUUUUGUAUCGCUACUAAACUAUCUUUAGUUCACACCUCUAUAAAAAGAAGUCAUCAAAGAGUUUGCAACUACGUCUUCACAUAUAAACAUAUAUAACCAAUUUUAGGAUUCAUAUAGAUCAACUUUAAGCAGUGCAUAUAUGGACUAUAAAGUCAAUUAGAAGUGAAUCUCGAUGAUAAUAUCACAUUAUUUAGUUUUUGUUGCAGCGCAGCUACAUCCAUGCAAGUGAGAUGACUAGCCUGGCACUGAAUAGUGUUAUAUAACCUUCCAUCUCUUUUGGUGGAAAUGCAGCAAAUAACUUCAAAUCCCUCUUCAAUAAUAGCGUCUAGCACUCUUGAUAGAAGAAAACUGUCUUCUCCGGACCCAGAAUUUGCAACAAUCUCUACUCCAUCGACACGAGAGAGCACAGUAACAGUGGUGCUCAUCAAAUUAUUGUAUGAACUAAUUUCAUUCCGUUGGUCAUCAAGAGGAGUCGAAUUCGACAAAUUCUUGAGCUCAUCUCUCUUGACACUCAAUUCUUUGACGUUAUUCUGAAGGUGUUUUAUAUAUUUCGCGGCCUCAUCUAUGUGAUCGGACAUUGAACGCUUUCCCUUCAACCCCAUCAACGAAACCCUAAAACCCUUGAGUGAUUCAAGAGGGAGGAGGGAUCGAAGCGAUGCAUGAAGAGUAGACAUUUGCUGUCUUCUUUGCCGUUCGAUCUCCUUGCGAAUGAUCUUCUUCUCAUCGCAAGCUAAACUAGCAUCAUUAUUAGUGUUUGAAUUUGCUAAUACUCGAGGAGGCAGGCCAUCCCCCAUUACGUUGGUAGGGUUAUUAGAAGCUCCAGCUAAGAAUGGAUUGUCUUGGUGGGGAUUACAGGAGAUUGCGGACGAAAAUUCAUUACUUUGUUGAAAGGGAAACAUCGAUUGAAUAGAGGGAAAUCGAAAUUUGGUGAGGCAAUAAUGGAGUUAAAAGAAAAUGGAUAUGGUUGUUGACACUGUGGUCUCUAAUUCU